CAAAUUGGAGCUUGGAUAGUAAAGCAUUUUAUUUACAUUAAAAAGUUAUCGUGCGAAUCGAUUUAAUUUGA
rnacentral:tRNA from 1 species